CUAAAUUACAUGUGAUUUUGAUACUGGGAUUGCUUCCGCUGCAUAUAAUAAUCCAUAUCUUUGAAUAUCUAUAUACUUAUAAUUUACCUCAAAUUCAGUCACUGUUGGAAGAAGGGCUUCCCUCGUCUCUUUCUGAGCUUAGCUUAAAUAACUAUGAUGAGCUCCAUUCACUACCGACCGAAGGUCUUCUACGCCUCACCUCGCUUCAACGUCUAGAGAUCACCUCCUGCGAUCAACUCAAAUCUAUUCCAGAAUCAGCGCUGCCCUCCUCCCUCCCUGAGCUGAUCAUCUCGCGUUGCCGUAAUCUCCAAUCUCUUCAAGUGAAAAGAAAGCCUUCCUUCCUCUCUCUGCUGCCUAUCUGUGGUUGCGGUAAUAAUCUCCAACCUCUUCCAGAAUCAGCGCUGCCCUCUCUCCUCUCUAAGCUAGUCAUCCAGUCUUGCCCUAAACUCAAAUCUCUUCCGGUAAAAGGGAUGCCCUCUUCUAUCUCUAAACUAUAUAUUUCUGGGUGCCCAUUGCUCAAACCACUCCUAGAGUCUGAGAAGGGGGAUUACUGGCCAAAUAUUGCCCAUAUUCCCACCAUAUGUAUCGAUCACGAAUACAUGUGAUGAUUAAAACGAAGGUGCUCUAACAAAUUGUGAAGAGGUUAUUGCCACUAUGAAACAGAGGAAGCAUCUUCAGAUUGGGAUGAAUUGAAUGUUAGAUGACAAAAAGAAAAGUGAGUUGAGCGAGGAGGAGGUGGUUUAGAGUAAUGCACAUGUCCACUAAUGAAUGCGAAGCUCUAAUAGAAUUCAAAGAUAUACGCGACACAAAGUUUGUCUCCUAUAUAUAAAAAUAGAAAAGUUUGCUUCCCAAUAUGAUUAUCGGAUAUCAGCUUGGGUAACAAUAUGCAAGCUAUUACCGCUCUUAGCUCCAUUAGUGAAUGGAAAGUUGUGCUGACAUUCUCUAUCGAAUGGACAGUUACCUUGAAUGUGGUCUGUCAGCAAAGUAUUCAAAAGCGUGCGGAAUUGGGGGAAGUGAAUGUUCUCAUACAAUGGGUGUUCUUCGUGUGAAUUCGCUCGAGUUGGUGCAGGCUCUAUUUUGAGAAUGAUUUGGCAACGACACAAUGUCAUUUCACCAUAGAAGGUUCUUUUAGUCUAUUACUUUCCUCUUCUGAGAUGUUGUCGAUAAUUCUCCGAGUAUCUAAUCCCUUCCGGUCCACUUCUCAAAGGGGAUAUACUGGCUAGAAAUGGCUCAAAUGGUGCUGUGAUAAAUUGUGUAGCGUCUAUUUGCUCUGUGAAGCCGAGGAAGCUUCUUUGCUCGAAAUGAAAUUUAAGUGAGUUGAGCAAGGAGGAUAUGGAUAGAGUAAUGCAUCUUCAGUGACAAAAAAAGCUCGUAGCUCAGUUGGUAAAAGGGAUGUCGUGCUCGCAUUCUCAGGAAAUAUUGUGGAAGAUUUUCAGUAGGUACAUUUUUGCCUUAUCCCUGGGACACAAGGAGUGUUGCCUUCUCCAUCACUUAAGUAUGCAUCGUGUUGUUAAUUUCCUGGGGUUGCAACCAGGCUCCAUUAUGAAGUCUUUGUCCGUUUGUUGGUUAAUCCGGAUAUAGGUCGGGGGUACUUAUGCAUUUUUCCAUUGAUGAAAACUAUUUCCCUGCAAAAUAUUUUUCUCAUUGAAAAUAAUUGUUUAAGUAAUAACAGCAGUCGUACCAAACACGCUCUUGUGGAUCUAGCCGGGUGGCUUUCACUUCAUCGAUAGGGGAGGCGUACAUGUGGACCCAUGGCUUUCACUUCAUCGAUAGGGGAGGCGUACAUGUGAACCCAAACAGGACCAUAAUAAUGUUGUGGAUAUAAUUUGCUGGAUUUUUCUUGAAUUUGAAAAAUAUUACUCCCUCCGUUCCUUUUUAGUCUAUUUCAAAAAGAAUGAUCUCUUUCUAAGUUUGGAAAAGUAUUUUAACUUAAACUUUCAACUUUUCUCUUAAUGAGAAGCUUUUAUAUGCUUGUUUCUU